CAGCAGCCGCGGUAAUACGUAGGGUGCGAGCGUUAAUCGGAAUUACUGGGCGUAAAGCGUGCGCAGGCGGUUAUAUAAGACAGAUGUGAAAUCCCCGGGCUCAACCUGGGACCUGCAUUUGUGACUGUAUAGCUAGAGUACGGUAGAGGGGGAUGGAAUUCCGCGUGUAGCAGUGAAAUGCGUAGAUAUGCGGAGGAACACCGAUGGCGAAGGCAAUCCCCUGGACCUGUACUGACGCUCAUGCACGAAAGCGUGGGGAGCAAACAGGAUUAGAUACCCGCGUAGUCCCUGUCUCUUAUAA
rnacentral:rRNA from 1 species